UCGAGGAUCUUUCGCAAUGGGCGCAAGCCUGACGAAGCGACGCUGCGUGAGCGAUGAAGGCCUUCGGGUCGUAAAGCUCUUUCGCGCAAGAACAAGGAAGUGUGGUGAAUAACCAUGUGACUUGAGGGUACUGCGUAAAGAAGCACCGGCUAACUCCGUGCCAGCAGCUGCGGUAAUACGGAGAGUGCAAGCAUUAAUCGGAAUUAUUGGGCGUAAAGGGCGCGUAGGCGGGAAUGUAAGUCAGAUGUGAAAUACUGAAGCUCAACUUCAGUGCUGCAUUUGAAACUGCGUUUCUUGAGGGUCGACGGAGAAAACGGAAUUCCACGUGUAGCGGUGAAAUGCGUAGAUAUGUGGAAGAACACCUGUGGCGAAAGCGGUUUUCUAGUUGAUGCCUGACGCU
rnacentral:rRNA from 1 species